rnacentral:rRNA from 1 species
GACGAACGCUGGCGGCGUGCUUAACACAUGCAAGUCGAACGGAAAGGCCCUGCUUUUGUGGGGUGCUCGAGUGGCGAACGGGUGAGUAACACGUGAGUAACCUGCCCUUGACUUUGGGAUAACUUCAGGAAACUGGGGCUAAUACCGGAUAGGAGCUCCUGCUGCUUGGUGGGGGUUGGAAAGUUUCGGCGGUUGGGGAUGGACUCGCGGCUUAUCAGCUUGUUGGUGGGGUAGUGGCUUACCAAGGCUUUGACGGGUAGCCGGCCUGAGAGGGUGACCGGCCACAUUGGGACUGAGAUACGGCCCAGACUCCUACGGGAGGCAGCAGUGGGGAAUAUUGCACAAUGGGCGGAAGCCUGAUGCAGCAACGCCGCGUGCGGGAUGACGGCCUUCGGGUUGUAAACCGCUUUCGCCUGUGACGAAGCGUGAGUGACGGUAAUGGGUAAAGAAGCACCGGCUAACUACGUGCCAGCAGCCGCGGUGAUACGUAGGGUGCGAGCGUUGUCCGGAUUUAUUGGGCGUAAAGGGCUCGUAGGUGGUUGAUCGCGUCGGAAGUGUAAUCUUGGGGCUUAACCCUGAGCGUGCUUUCGAUACGGGUUGACUUGAGGAAGGUAGGGGAGAAUGGAAUUCCUGGUGGAGCGGUGGAAUGCGCAGAUAUCAGGAGGAACACCAGUGGCGAAGGCGGUUCUCUGGGCCUUUCCUGACGCUGAGGAGCGAAAGCGUGGGGAGCGAACAGGCUUAGAUACCCUGGUAGUCCACGCUGUAAACGGUGGGUACUAGGUGUGGGGUCCAUUCCACGGGUUCCGUGCCGUAGCUAACGCUUUAAGUACCCCGCCUGGGGAGUACGGCCGCAAGGCUAAAACUCAAAGGAAUUGACGGGGCCCCGCACAAGCGGCGGAGCAUGCGGAUUAAUUCGAUGCAACGCGUAGAACCUUACCUGGGUUUGACAUGGAUCGGGAGUGCUCAGAGAUGGGUGUGCCUCUUUUGGGGUCGGUUCACAGGUGGUGCAUGGCUGUCGUCAGCUCGUGUCGUGAGAUGUUGGGUUAAGUCCCGCAACGAGCGCAACCCUUGUUCACUGUUGCCAGCACGUUAUGGUGGGGACUCAGUGGAGACCGCCGGGGUCAACUCGGAGGAAGGUGGGGAUGACGUCAAGUCAUCAUGCCCCUUAUGUCCAGGGCUUCACGCAUGCUACAAUGGCUGGUACAGAGAGUGGCGAGCCUGUGAGGGUGAGCGAAUCUCGGAAAGCCGGUCUCAGUUCGGAUUGGGGUCUGCAACUCGACCUCAUGAAGUCGGAGUCGCUAGUAAUCGCAGAUCAGCAACGCUGCGGUGAAUACGUUCCCGGG